AUGAAGGCUGUUGAUGAUAAAGAGGAUGAUGUUAUGAUUACCGGUGUCAGCCACACUGCUCCUGGCAACCCGGUCGCUUUAUCCAAACAUAGCGCCAAGGAUGAACUUUCUGCUAUGGGCAAAGGCAAAUGGAGCACCGAUUUAUCCAGCUACGCUCAUCUCAACGCCCAAGACAUUCACUCUGGCUUCUUGAACCGUCUGUACACCAGUCAUGACUAUGAAGCCGGUUUAGUAAAUCUGAUGAAGGAGCGAUAUGAGGCUGAGCUGAGCAAAAAGGAAACUCAAAACGCCGAUCUGCAAGAGAACAUCAAAUCUCAGCAAGCCGAAACCUCCAAGGCCAAGGAAGAGUUGACCAGCGCUUUAGACGCUAUGGAGAAACUGAAAAAGCUUCAACAAGGAGCGAGCGGAUUGGGAGACAGAAAAAUCCGCUUUGCGAAAAAGAGCCGAGGAUGCAGAAACAGCUCUUAA
rnacentral:rRNA from 1 species